CUGGCGGCGUGCUAACACAUGCAAGUCGAACGAGAAAGUGGAGCAAUCCAUGAGUAAAGUGGCGACCGGGUGAGUAACACGUGACUAACCUACCUCCGAGUGGGGAAUAACUCCGGGAAACCGGGGCUAAUACCGCAUAACAUCGCAAGAUCAAAGCAGCAAUGCGCUUGGAGAGGGGGUCGCGGCUGACUAGCUAGUUGGCGGGGUAACGGCCCACCAAGGCGAAGAUCGGUAUCCGGCCUGAGAGGGCGCACGGACACACUGGAACUGAAACACGGUCCAGACUCCUACGGGAGGCAGCAGUGGGGAAUUUUGCGCAAUGGGGGAAACCCUGACGCAGCAACGCCGCGUGGAGGAUGAAGCCCUUUGGGGCGUAAACUCCUUUCGACUCGGACGAUAAUGACGGUACGAGUGGAAGAAGCACCGGCUAACUCUGUGCCAGCAGCCGCGGUAAUACAGAGGGUGCGAGCGUUGUUCGGAAUUAUUGGGCGUAAAGGGCGCGUACGCGGUGCGGUAAGUCACCUGUGAAAU
rnacentral:rRNA from 1 species